rnacentral:rRNA from 1 species
GACGAACGCUGGCGGCGUGCUUAAAACAUGCAAGUCGAACGCAGUGGCGAACGGGUGAGUAAUACGUGAGUAACCUGCCCUCCUUUUUGGGAUAAGCCUUGGAAACGGGGUCUAAUACCGAAUAAAGGGGGAUGGGCUCGCGGCCUAUCGGCUUGUUGGGGGGGUGAUGGCCUACCAAGGCGGUGACGGGUCGCCGGCCUGAGAGGGUGACCGGCGACAUUGGGCCUGAGAUACGGCCCAGAGUCAUACGGGAGGCAGCAGUGGGGGAUAUUGCACAAUGGGCGGAAGCCUGAUGCAGCGACGCGGCGUGGGGGAUGAAGGCUUUCGGGUUGGAAACCUCGGUCGCAAGCGAACGGGUAGGUGGAGAAGAAGCGACGGCGAACGACGUGCGAGCAGCCGCGGUAAUUC